rnacentral:misc_RNA from 1 species
UCAAACUUGGUCAUUUAGAGGAAGUAAAAGUCGUAACAAGGUUUCCGUAGGUGAACCUGCGGAAGGAUCAAUACAAAACGGGGCGGGUCGGGGCAGCGGUUGCGCGAGCAGCUGGUUGCCGGCGGGCCCGCCACAUGUGCCCGGACCGGUGCGGUCCGCGACAUUUGCGCGUGUACAGUCAGACAGAGUGGUGGUUGGUGAACGGAACAACUUUUAACAAUGGAUCUCUUGGCUCCUGCAUCGAUGAAGAACGCAGC